CAGCUAGGAUGUUGGCUUGGAAGCAGCCAUUCAUUUAAAGAGUGCGUAACAGCUCACUAGUCGAGCGGCCGGGCGUGGAUAAUAAACGGGCAUCAAGAACGGUACCGAAGCUAUGGACUGGUAGAAUGAUCUACCAUUGGUAGGGGAGCAUUCCAUGUGGGGCGAAUCGCCAGGGUGACCUGGCGUGGACCGCAUGGAAAAGCAAAUGUAGGCAUGAGUAACGAUAAGGCGGGUGGGAAACCCGCCCACCGAAAG
rnacentral:rRNA from 1 species